rnacentral:rRNA from 1 species
UACGUAGGGUGCGAGCGUUGUCCGGAAUUACUGGGCGUAAAGAGCUCGUAGGUGGUUUGUCGCGUUGUUCGUGAAAUCUCACGGCUUAACUGUGAGCGUGCGGGCGAUACGGGCAGACUGGAGUACUGCAGGGGAGACUGGAAUUCCUGGUGUAGCGGUGGAAUGCGCAGAUAUCAGGAGGAACACCGGUGGCGAAGGCGGGUCUCUGGGCCGGAACUGACGCUGAGGAGCGAAAGCGUGGGGAGCGAACAGG